rnacentral:lncRNA from 1 species
UACAAACUAGCACGGCAUCAUAUGAAUAUUUCUUAGCGAAUGCUGAUAUUCAGCCACCCUCGGCACAUAAGAAAGCCAGAAAAUGACAUGCUUUUGUGCCGUUUUGAAGUUUUGGAUUUGAAAAUUAACAAUAAUUUUUACCAUUAAAAUAUAUUAAAAGUGAAUUAAAAGAAAUUAAAAAAUCCUCUUAUCCACUUUCUCCUACUCAAUCACCCGUGUUCUAUCCCCUGAAACACUCACGAAGCUCAUUGUCCCUCUCACUCAUGAUGAAGCUCGUUGUCCCACUUACCAACGAAGCUCGCUAUCCCUCUCACUCGCCCACAAAGCUCGUUGUCACGCCACACCCAUUGCCGACCAGUUGCCUAACGUCACUGACCAACCGCAAUUCACGUCGCCGACUAGUCUUACUUGACAGUGUGCUUGACGAUUUUGGACCUUUUUCACCUGUUCAGGUAAUUAAAUUUAGUAUGCUAAGGAAAGUUUUGAUUUAUUAGGUUGCGAUGUCAAAAAUAGAUUGGGUAGUAUUAGUGGUCAAUUUUCUAGAAUUGUUUUACUGUUGGUGUUUGGAUUUUUUUUGGAAUUUAUAUUUAAAAUUAUGAGAAAUAAGUUAUUUGAAAUGCAGAUUUUGUUUGAAUUAUAUAUGGUUCGUACAAUUUUAUUUUUGAUGGUAUAGAAAUGACGAAUUUGGAAAAAGAUUAUGAAGUCGAAGAUUUGGAAGAAUUAGAUGACAAUGAUUCAAAUGGAAAUAAUAAAGAAACUAAUAAUGUAGUGGAUGUGAAACCAAAAAAGUAUGUGUCAAAAUUUGGGAUGUUGUUUGAUAAUCUUGAUUAGAUGUAUGAUUAUUAUAAAGGUUUUAGUAAACAAGAGGGUUUUCCAAUAAAGUGACAAACUACUAAAAAAGGAUUUGAUGGGAUUGUGAGAUAUGUGACUUUUUCUUAUGAGCGGGAAGCCUAAAAUUCAGUUUUCUAAUGUAUGGAGGCCAUAACCUAGGAGGAGAAGUGGUUGCGAAGUGAAUUUGGAGGAUGUCUUAAUGAAGAUGGAAAAUGGGUUGUUUGAAAUUUAGUUCUUGAACACAACCAUGGAGUGAUAUAACCACCACAUUAGUUCAAGUGUAAAAAAAUCUUGAUAUAAAUGAUAAAGCAAGAAUUAAAGUUGCACAAAAUUUUGCUUCUGUUGUUGUUGAAGUAUGUGGAUUUGAAAAUGUCUCAUUCAUAGAAAGAGAUGUUAGAAAUCGCACCAUCCAUGCAAGGAGAUUACAACUAAAAGAAGGGGAUGUUAUGGCAAUUCAAGUGAAUUUUAAGAAAAUGCAGAAAGAAUGUAAUGGCUUUUACUAUGACAUAGACGUGAAUGAAGAUGGUCAACUAGUCAAUGUAUGAUGGGUAGAUCCAAAGAGUAGGGUACCUUACAAGGAUUUUGGAGAUGUUAUGUUCAACACUACAUAGCUUACAAACAAGUAUGACAUGCCAUUUUCUCCCUUUGUGGGAGUUAACCAUCAUGGUCAGUUUAACUUGCUAGUGUGUGGAUUGAUUUCUUAUGAGGACACUAAGACAUUUAUAUGGUUAUUUUUAGUUGUGUCUCCUGCAUGUUGAGCUCUCCUCCCAAUAAAAUCAUUACAGCCAAGGAUAAAGUAACCAAAAAGGUUAUUGAGAUAUUUUUUCCUCAUACUAGAUAUCGAUGGUAAUUGUAGCAUAUUCUUAAAAAGGUACCUGAGAUGUUAGGGGGCUUAUAAAAAAUAUGAUGGCAUUAAAUUCAUUACUUUCUACUAUUUAUAAUUUGCAAAGUCCUAGUAUGUUUGAGAAUGCAUAGCAUGACAUAAUUAUGAAAUAUGAUUUAGGUUGCAAUGAUUAGUUCAAGUGGUUUGUACAAUGAGAGAUAUUGUUAGGUUCCGUGUUUUGUGAAUAAUAGUUUUUUUGGUAGGAAUAUCAACAACUCAAUAAAGUGAGAAUGAUGCUUUUCUUUAUAGGUACGUGACAUCAAAAACAACAUUGAAACAACCUGUGGAGCAAUUUGAUAAUGCAUUGCAAAGUAAAGUGGAAAAGAAUCAUAAAAAGAUGAGAACUGUUUAAGGCAAUAGAUUUUAUGUGUAACUAUUUUUGAAAUGGAGAGGCAAAUUCAAGAGGCUUACACUAACUCAAAGUUUCUUGAAUUUCAGCAAGAGCUACUUGGUUUGAUGUAUUGUGACAUAAUCGACUGUGUGGGAUCAUUAUAUGAUGUUAGUGAACAGAGUGUGGAUGGUAACAAAAGAAGUUCCGAAUUCAUUUUUGAAAAUGAUGAAAGCACAGUGGAUGUAGCUAUUUAAAGUUUGAAUCUGCAAGGCUUAUGUGUAGACAUGCCAUUGGAUCAUUUCUGUGUUGUUUCGUAACUCUAUUACUCUACUUCCAGAAAAAUACAUCUUACGGAGAUGGAGAAAAGAUGUAUAAAGAUGUCAUAAUAAGGUAAAAUUCAGUUGUGAGAGGUGGAGUUUAACUAAUGAACAGAAGCAAUGUAGAAAAAUGUGUGAUGUUUUUAGCAAUGUUGUGAACAUAGCUGCAGAUGAUAGAAAAAAGUUACCAAUUCCUUAUGGAUUUGAUUGGGAAAAUAGAAGUGGGUCUGCCUUAGAGAAUUUGUUGUAGAAGUAAAACAAGUGGUAACAACAAGGUGGGAUGUAUAAUGAAUGAGAAUAAUCAAAUUAACCUACAAGAUCUAGUUGUAUCUUGAACAAAAGGUUGUCUACCUUCUCAAAGAAAACAAUCGAAGGUUGAGAAGAAAUACAAAAAGAAAAUUAAGGUAAGAUUAAAUACUUAGAUAAUUAUUUUAUAGUUAAUUUUAAUUUAUCUUUUUAUGGAUUUACUGGACUCAAAUGUAAAAACUCUAUUAUCUUUUAAUGUGGAUAUUGUGGUCCCAACGCAGGAGAGCAAUAAGAAUUCAGUAAGUUUUGUGUUUUUUUAUGUAUGUUUAUUAAUAUUAAAUUUGUCAUUAUGUAAAAAGUUACCAGUACAGUGUUUAUUUAGGCACCUGUGUUUGCAUGCCGAUCACCAGGAUGCGAUAUUUAUCCAUCAUAUCCUUUUGAUUCUUACACUAUAAGUUAUAAACCAAUUUCUAUAUUUUAUGCCUAAUUAAUUUUGCACUUUAUGGAAUGUAAUAUGGUUAUUAUUUUAUGCAAACUAACAAUCUCUAUUACUCUCAUCGCAUCCAUCUAUGUUGCCUUAUUCUUCGUCUUAGAUACUCUAUGGAGGAUCUCAACAAGGGAGUUUUCAGCAAUUACUACUUCAAACUAGGGGUGAGCGUUCGGAUCAGGUUAACCCGAACCAAACUAAACCCAAAAUUUAGGUUAACCUGUGCAACCUGAAUGGAUUCAAACUAUCAACCCAUUUGGGUUAAAAUUCGGUUCGGGUUCGAACGGGUUGAAUUUUUUUUUUAAGUUUUGGCUUUUAAAAUAUAUAUAUAUAUAUAUAUAUAUAU